GACGAACCGUGCGAACGUUGUUCGGAAUCACUGGGCUUAAAGGGCGCGUAGGCGGGUUCGCAAGUCAGGGGUGAAAUCUUUCAGCUUAACUGGAAAACAGCCCCUGAUACUGCGAGUCUCGAGGGAGGUAGGGGCAUGUGGAACUUCCGGUGGAGCGGUGAAAUGCGUAGAUAUCGGAAGGAACGCCGGUGGCGAAAGCGACGUGCUGGACCUCUUCUGACGCUGAGGCGCGAAAGCUAGGGGAGCAAACAGG
rnacentral:rRNA from 1 species